rnacentral:snoRNA from 2 species
CACAGGUAUGAAAUAUUUUGUGCAGAUUUGGUAGAAGGCUUUCAGUACAACUCAGGGCCUCUUGAUUUUGAGGCAUAAAUCUUAGGCCUCUGUAUCAGUCAGGGCUCAGACAGAG